rnacentral:lncRNA from 1 species
AACCCUAAACUAUCAACACUAAACCCUAAAAAGUAAACUCUAAACCCUAAACCCUAAACCCUAUAAAAAAUUAACCCUAAACCCUAAAACAUCAACUCUAAACCCUAAACCCUAAACCCUAAACCCUAAAUCCUAAACCCUAAAACCCUAGAGUUGAUGUUUUACGGUUUAGAUUUGAAGAUUUAGGGUUUAGGGUUUACGUUUAGGGUUUAGAGUUGAUGUUUUAGGGUUUAGAUUUGAAGGUUUAAGGAUUAGGGUUCGAAUUUCAGAAAAAUAUAAGGUUUAGGGUUUAGGGUUUACGUUCAGGGUUUAGAGUUGAUGUUUUAGGGUUUUGAUUUGAAGGUUUAGGGUUUAGAGUUGAUGUUUCAGGGUUUAGGGUUUAGAGUUGAUGUUUCGUGGUUUAGGGUUUAGAGUUGAUGAUUUAUGGUUUAAAGUUGAUGUUUUAAGUUUAGAUUUAGGGUUUAGGGUUUACGUUUAGGGUUUAGGAUUGAUGUUUUAGGGUUUAGAUUUGAAGUUUUAGGGUUUAGGGUUUAGAGUUGAUGUUUCGGGGUUUAGGGUUUAGA